CAAGGAUAGUGCUCUUUCUUCACCUUGCUUCAAGAGUUCUAGCCUCUAGAACUCAACUAGCCACCAAUCGAUCAGAUCUUCCUCUAGAACUGAGUCUGAACCUUUCUGAACCAUCCACUAGACUUGACUACCUUUUUUGAGACCUCUUAAACCCUUAGAGCUAUUAGGAUUAGGCUUGUCUUAAAAGAACAAGCCUUGUCCUAAAACUUGGAGUUGUAAGAGAGGG
rnacentral:lncRNA from 1 species